AAGCAAUUUGCUUUCGGGAAGUAAUGGAGUUCUUGGGCUUAACUCUACGUCUCCUUCCGAAUCGCUUAUCCGUUCUGCCGCCGCCUUCACAUUCGAUCUCUACUUAUCCCUCUCUCUCUUGAUCGAUACGGCGAUGGCUCCGUUGUCGGCGCUAGUCCAGUACAAGCUGGGGUUCUUGGGCGAUCAGUCGGUGGAAAACCGGCAUCAUCACCAGAUUCAUGUACGACAAGUUCGACAAUGCCUAUCCGGUCGAUCGGCUGGCAAUCUUUCUUAACUACUUCAAAGUGGUUUGAAGAAGUUUGAAGAGUGGGGAACUGAUGUUAUUAUCAUGCUUGUUGAGAACAAAACUGACCUUGUUGACAAAAGGUCUUAACGGAGGAAGGAGAAGCCAAGGCCAAAGAUCUUGGUUCAUGUUCAUUGAAACAAGUGCAGAAGCUGGCUUCGAUGUAAAAGUAUGUUUUUACACUCUGUGAUUCCUAUCUGUGGCUGAUUUUAUUUCUAGACAAACUUGUUAUCCUAGUCACUGCAGAUAUGCAUCCUGCAAUUGCACAUACUGUUGAAUUAAGUUUAGUUUAUAUCAGUUGGUCAAUUAAUU